rnacentral:tRNA from 1 species
GCCUCAGUGGUUGAGUUAGCUAAGACACCCGUAUCGGAGAUUCGAGAAGUCCCAGGUUCGAAUCCUAGCUGAGGUG